rnacentral:rRNA from 1 species
UACAGAGGGUGCGAGCGUUAAUCGGAAUUACUGGGCGUAAAGCGUGCGUAGACGGUUAUUUAAGUCGGGUGUGAAAGCCCCGGGCUCAACCUGGGAAUGGCGAUGGAUACUGGCUCGCUAGAGUGCGGUAGAGGAGAGUGGAAUUCCCGGUGUAGCAGUGAAAUGCGUAGAGAUCGGGAGGAACAUCAGUUGCGAAGGCGGCUCUCUGGACCAGCACUGACACUGAGGCACGAAAGCGUGGGGAGCAAACAGG